AACGAACGCUGGCGGCAGGCUUAACACAUGCAAGUCGAGCGCCUCGCAAGGGGAGCGGCAGACGGGUGAGUAACGCGUGGGAAUCUACCCUUUCCUACGGAAUAACACAGAGAAAUUUGUGCUAAUACCGUAUACGCCCUACGGGGGAAAGAUUCAUCGGGAAGGAUGAGCCCGCGUCGGAUUAGCUGGUUGGUGGGGUAAUGGCCCACCAAGGCGACGAUCCGUAGCUGGUCUGAGAGGAUGACCAGCCACAUUGGGACUGAGACACGGCCCAAACUCCUACGGGAGGCAGCAGUGGGGAAUAUUGGACAAUGGGCGCAAGCCUGAUCCAGCCAUGCCGCGUGAGUGAUGAAGGCCUUAGGGUUGUAAAGCUCUUUCACCCACGAUGAUAAUGACGGUAGUGGGAGAAGAAGCCCCGGCUAACUUCGUG
rnacentral:rRNA from 1 species